rnacentral:rRNA from 1 species
UACGGGGGGAGCAAGCGUUGUUCGGAAUUACUGGGCGUAAAGGGCGCGUAGGCGGCCCGCUAAGUCGAACGUGAAAUCCCCGAGCUCAACUCGGGAACUGCGUCCGAUACUGGUGGGCUUGAAUCCGGGAGAGGGAUGCGGAAUUCCAGGUGUAGCGGUGAAAUGCGUAGAUAUCUGGAGGAACACCGGUGGCGAAGGCGGCAUCCUGGACCGGCAUUGACGCUGAUGCGCGAAAGCCAGGGGAGCAAACGGG